rnacentral:rRNA from 1 species
UUGGAGGGCAAGUCUGGUGCCAGCAGCCGCGGUAAUUCCAGCUCCAAUAGCGUAUAUUAAAGUUGUUGCAGUUAAAAAGCUCGUAGUUGAAUUUCGGGGUCAGUAGGCUGGUCGUGCCACAGGUAUGUACUGGUCUCACUGAUUCCUCCUUCCUGAUGAACCGUAAUGCCAUUAAUUUGGUGUUGCGGGGAAUCUGGACUGUUACUUUGAAAAAAUUAGAGUGUUUAAAGCAGGCUAACGCUUGAAUACAUUAGCAUGGAAUAAUGAAAUAGGACGAUCGAUCCUAUUUUGUUGGUUUCUAGGAUUGACGUAAUGAUUAAUAGGGAUAGUUGGGGGCAUUAGUAUUCAAUUGUCAGAGGUGAAAUUCUUGGAUUUAUUGAAGACUAACUACUGCGAAAGCAUUUGCCAAGGAUGUUUUCAUUAAUCAAGAACGAAAGUUAGGGGAUCGAAGACGAUCAGAUACCGUCGUAGUCUUAACCAUAAACUAUGCCGACUAGGGAUCGGAUGGUGUUAAUUUUUUAAUGACUCAUUCGGCGCCUUACGGGAAA